CCUCCAAAUGUGCACAUAAAGCUCAUGUCACACCAAAUAUUACAAAUGAUGAAAAUACAUUUCCCAGCUUGUAUUUCUAUACUGCAUACAGUAUAUUUUAAUAGGAGUGAAUAUCUCAAAAUAUUUUUUUUUUUUUAAAUAAGGGAAAAU